rnacentral:lncRNA from 1 species
GGCAGUCAGUGGAGGUUGGGGACCACCUAGGAAAGAAUGGGGGAUAACAGACUCAAAGAAGAAUACCAAGAGUCUGAUCAAGGCGACAAAUUUUAUUUUUUCCCAAGGCUGAAUUUAUACCAUAGCAGGGGUAACAGAGGGAGGGGAAAAGUGGGAAACAUCUAUGCAGGCCAAGGACACAGUGCUCUUGUGGUCAGCUGAUGUCAACAGGAUGUUGGUUUCUCAGAAAGGUCACAGAUUUCCAUUGGAGAUCUCAGCAAAGGAUUGUCAUCAAAAUUUAUCUCUUUCAGAAACAAAAUACUGAUCAUAGCACUGGAAAAGCUGUCAGAAUGUUCCUAGUAAGGAAAAAUAGCAAUGAAUACACCUUCCUGCAGAAUUAAACUGUAGAAGCAACAGCUACACAUGCAGAGUCUACUGUCUUGAUAAAGUGCCCUAGGACACUCACAAUGCUGACAGUUUCAGGGUUAUUAGUAAUGUCAAUGCUAGGAGGGAAAAGAAGUGUAUACACACUGCUGUGGUUCUCCUGUCUCCUAGGGGUGGCAAAAAUGAGGCCAGAAGAUAUCCUUUUACAACACAGCUGAUGACUUUGCAGAAUAGGCAUUAUCAUUUUUAAAAUAAACUUUUAAAGAAGGUAGAGUUUUAUACAAGUUUCUGUUAUGUUGAGCAUAUUCCCCCAUGGCUCUGACUCUCCUUUUCUUACCCCCACACCACUUUAUUAUCUGUGUUCUCUACAGUGUUACUUUUUUCAUACAUGCAUUUUGGAUUUAUGUAAAACAUAGGAAGCACAAAUGAGAGGAAACACUAUUUGUCUAUGUGAGACUGACUUAAUCCAUUUAAAUGAUCACCCAUUGUGUUCAUUCUCCUGUAAAUGACAUGACUUCAUUCUUUGUGACGAAAGGACUAUUCAGAGUGUACAUCAGUUUUCUUUAUCAAUCCUGUGUGUUGGAUACCAAUGUAGGUUCCAUUACACUUGCUCACACGGGAACACUGCUCGGU